rnacentral:rRNA from 1 species
GAUGAACGCUGGCGGCGUGCCUAAUACAUGCAAGUCGAGCGAACAGACGAGGAGCUUGCUCCUCUGACGUUAGCGGCGGACGGGUGAGUAACACGUGGAUAACCUACCUGUAAGACUGGGAUAACUUCGGGAAACCGGAGCUAAUACCGGAUAAUAUAUUGAACCGCAUGGUUCAAUAGUGAAAGACGGUUUUGCUGUCACUUAUAGAUGGAUCCGCGCUGCAUUAGCUAGUUGGUAAGGUAACGGCUUACCAAGGCAACGAUGCGUAGCCGACCUGAGAGGGUGAUCGGCCACACUGGAACUGAGACACGGUCCAGACUCCUACGGGAGGCAGCAGUAGGGAAUCUUCCGCAAUGGGCGAAAGCCUGACGGAGCAACGCCGCGUGAGUGAUGAAGGUCUUCGGAUCGUAAAACUCUGUUAUUAGGGAAGAACAAAUGUGUAAGUAACUAUGCACGUCUUGACGGUACCUAAUCAGAAAGCCACGGCUAACUACGUG